AUUUGGAUGGGGACAUAGCCGAACCAUAUCAAUGGGUAGUUUCUAAAGAAAAAGGUUUAUUUGGCUCACAAUUCUGAUGGCUGCAAAUUUUGAGAUUGGGCGUCUGUAUCUGGUGAGGGCCUCAGGCUGCUUCCACUCCUGGAAGAAGAUGAAGGGAGCCACCUGAUGAGAAAGAAAGCAAGAGGUGGGGGGCUAGGGGAGAGGUAUCAGGCUCUUUUGAACAACCAGCUUUCCCAGGAAAGGUAUUAGUCCUUUCAUGAGAGAUCUGCCCUCAUGGCCCAGACACCUCCCUGUAGGCCCCAUCCCCCAGCACCUCCACACUGGGGAUUAAAUUUCAGCAUGAGACUGGGUGGGGACAAACUAUAUCCCGAUCGUGGCACACACGAAAAGAUGGUCAACAUCAUUAGUCACCUAGGAAAUGCAAAUCGAAACCACCAUGAGACACCACUUCACACCCACUAAGAUGGCUAUUAAAAAAAAAAAAAAUAGAAAAUAGCUGCUGGGCACAGUGGCUCAGCCUGUAAUUCCAGCACUUUGGGAGUUCGAGGCGAGUGGAUCACUUCAGAUCAGGAGUUCAAGACCAGCCUGGCCAACAUGGUGAAACCCUGUCUCCGCCAAAAAUAUAAAAAAUUAGCUGGGUGUGGUGGUGCAUGCCUGUAAUCCCAGCUACUCGGGAGGCUGAGGCAGGAGAAUUGCUUGAACCUGGGAGGCAGAGGUGCAGUGACCUGAGAUCAUGCCACUGCACUCCAGCCUGGGUG
rnacentral:lncRNA from 10 species